rnacentral:lncRNA from 1 species
UUCUUGAUUGGUCAAUGCUUUGACCUGAUUCAAAAGAACAGAAAAAUGAUAAAUUUAGGCUCCAUAUCAUAUUUCAACACUGUAAUUAAUAAAAUAGCUUGUUGAGGAGAGAUUAUCAAAGGAAUGAGGAUUGGGGUUGAUCCAAUUCUUGUUCUUAGUGGACUUGGGGGUCUGCUAUUUAUAAACAAAAGCCAUAUAUAGUAAAGCCAAUUUACCUUUUGCACCAAAUAACCCUACCUGUGGGAAAAGUGCUUGGACAGCAAGGUUUGAAGCAUUCUGUAAGGGUUAGGGAAACAGGAUUUAGAGAAGUUGCUGCUUAUAUUCUUGACUAUAUAUGACCACCUUGCAAUUGCACUGGUGAAGAUCCAGACAGACAUGCAGGGAACUGAAUUAAAGUUGUUGGAAAGUUUGGUGAAGCGGAAAUAGUUCCAAUUGAUCAUGGACUCUGUCUGCCAGAUAGUUUAGAGGGUCGGUAUUUUGAAUGCAUUCACUGGCCCCAAGCUUUUAUUCCCUUUUCUAAAGAAGAACUUGAGUGUAUAGAGAAGCUAGAUCCAUUUAAGGAUUCUAGAAUGCCGCGAAGAGAACUUCCCAUGAUUCCCAAGCGCUGCAAACUAAUUUUCAGGCCAGUAAUUUCAUCUUUGUAGAUGCACUGCACAAGAACACG